rnacentral:misc_RNA from 1 species
GAAAACUAAUGGAAGGUUUAAUCCCAUUUCUCCUUCACGCUAUGAAGAAACAGAGGCCUCAUCACAACAGUUUCCGGUCCCUUUCCGACACCUCUAACCGGAGCUACCACUUGCUCGUCGGAGCUGAUUCCAUCGACGGCUCAUCUCACCGGAGAACUCGAUCGGAGUUUCAGCCUCCGGUCACCACUGUUGAUUUCUUGGAUCUGCCUCAGCCUAGAAGCUUCAAUAACAGAGCAACUUCUCUGCUUUCCCCUGUUUCCAACCAGAAUGCUUCCAGAUUGAAAUUUGGUUCAAACAAUAUGGCUGCUACAAACAAUUUACAAGGGACGGUUUCU